rnacentral:rRNA from 1 species
GACAGAGGGUGCAAACGUUGCUCGGAAUCACUGGGCGUAAAGGGCGUGUAGGCGGGCCGGUAAGUCGGGCGUGAAAUCCCUGGGCUCAACCCAGGAACUGCACUCGAAACUACUUGUCUUGAGUGUCGGAGAGGAAAGCGGAAUUCCUGGUGUAGAGGUGAAAUUCGUAGAUAUCAGGAGGAACACCAGUGGCGAAGGCGGCUUUCUGGACGAUAACUGACGCUGAGACGCGAAAGCGUGGGGAGCAAACAGG